UCCUUCUGAACCAGGGCUUUUGAUACAGGCACAAAGGUUCACAGCCUGCUCGUCUAGUUGGUGAGACCGUCCAGUCCCUCUUGUGUCAUUUGUGGUGGCAUUGCAGACUUUGAGAACAAUCAGAAGGACAAACCCCAAGCUGUUUGGAUGCUGCUCAGCCCCAAAUACGUGAGAAGAGCUAUUCCGACGUGAGUGUCUUCUCUGCACUGCAAUGCAGGGAUGGAGCUAAGGAUGAGCAAUGGGAACACUGUCAGGAUUACAGCCAGGAGCAGCCCUGCUGGUUGGAUGGGCAGAUGAUGGCACCGACAGAGGCUUCCCAGUGUGACACCCCAAGGCUGCCCCUUCCUUGGGCCAGCGUCCUCAUCCCGCAGGUACGACAUCACCCACAACUCAUCACAAAGCUCCGUUUGUGUCCCGAGCCCUGAACCUAUUUCAAAGCCCAAGCUAAAUUACACAAACACUUGCCUAUAGACAUAACAGGACUGUUAUGAAAUACUGUCAGCUUGUUGCCAUUUAGCCCGAGCACACCCUGCAUGUGUCUGUCAGGCCAUACUUGGGCAGCUCUGCCGCGUGCGACGUGUCCCAGACACUGGGGUGAUUAUGUCUGAAUGCUCCUUAUCUGAUGGGGCAGCCGACAGUGCUGCACAUCUGUGCUCCGAGGCUCUGCUGCGGCGCUGCCACGCCACUAUUUAUUUUGCUUCUGCAAGUUAGUUUGCCUUGAGAAGCAGCAGGGGCCUUCUUCAAUGAACUGAAAAAUGUGUAUUGUAUGAAGGUCUGCAGAGGGUUUGUACCGUAGUUCAGUGGGCAAACGCGAACCCAGGGGAUGACAUUUCAUUUAAACAUUUGGUUUACAUCUUUACAUGCCAAAAAUAUUAAUAUCCUGACUUCAGCAAACUGAAUUCAGCACUUUUUUUUCCCCCCUCCCCUUAAAUGAAGUAAUUAUAGCCAAAACACUCUGUGGGUAUUUAUUCUUCCUUCUCAGAGGUGGAGUUUCGCACACGAACAUUUGGUUUCAGGGCUGGAAUUGUCAGUAGCUGCUCACUUGACACUUUCCCCUUCGUUUGCAUUGGAAACCACCAGUAGUUUCUUUUCUCGUGUUUAUUGUAUUACUCUCCGCCCUUUGAUCAGGACAUCUUGGAUAGCAGCAAAGUCUAGCUUAGUGCCGCCUGUUUGCUAGUUAGAAAAAAAAAGGUGAAGAAUAUGGUUUCUGUCAAAGGAUCUACAAAGACAGUUAAUGUAAUUGAGAAGCAGAAGGGCAUUUAUGGAAGUGCAUCUGAAUGUCCUCUUCACAUGUAAUUGCAUCAGGAAUUCUACAUUAACAUGCAAGUGCUGUCCAAAGGGAAAAAAAAAAAGAAAAAAGCUUAUUUUUAGGUAGAAGCCCUCAGUGGGCAGUAAAUUACCCAUAAUAUCCCCCAAACUAGCAAU
rnacentral:lncRNA from 1 species